AAAGAAAGAAAGAAAGAAAGAAAGAAAUCUGAGCUUUUCAAGAAGUCUUCUCUUUCUAAAACUUGGCAUUCAGAGAAGACUAUCAAGCACUAUUAGCCUUGCAAUGAAAUUUGAGUCAGUGGCAGCCUCAAGGAAUUUGUCUGAAAUUUCUAGCCAUUGUGAAUUGUAAGGAACAUUUAAAUGGGAAAUCUCUUGAGAAACCUGUAUUCCCUGGGGAGUCCUGCUACUUCACAUUUCUGGGCAGCCAGUGAAUUGUGAUGAGAGCAGUGUUUGCAAACUCUGCCCCCGCUGUCAGCUGGAACUGUGAGUUGCACAAGCCACUGGCAUGAAUAAUAAUGCAUGGGAAGAGGUUACGCAACACUUUCAGACCUCAAAUAUUCUGCAUUUCACGCCAUUCUUGGGUAAAGGUUGGGGCCACUUUUUAUUUUAUCUGGAGAGGUGCAUUUUACUGUGACUACUGCGUCAAAAGCAUGUGGCUGGGGUGUUUUUGGGAGGUAUGUCGUAACACGGUGUGCCAUGUCUGGUGAGUAGAGAGCUGCAGAUCACAGAGGGACAGCUUGAAGUUCCUUCAGAGAGCUGGUCUGCAAGCUGUGCUGGCCAUAUAGCAUUUAGUUUUCUGCAGAAUUUAUGAAAGGGUAAACAGUAUUAUAAAGCUGCUGAAUUAAAGCCUCAAUUUCAGACCAGUAAACUGAGGCACACCAUGGGUGCCAUCAGCUCAGGAGGUCAAAAAGUAAAAAAAAAAAUCUCAUCAGACUGAUCCUUGUGUUCUGUCUCCAUUACCCAGUGUCAAUAGCUGAGCUGUUUGUGGAUGCCCAGGAGAGGCUGGCUUGUCUGUGUCUUGUUGUCAUCAUGCUCUCUCUGUAGUAUGUCCUCCCAGGAAAACGUCAUUCAUUUAAAAUAGUGAUCCUCCUGUUUAAAGCAUGUUUUAUUCUGUGAGAGCAGGUCAAACAGCAGACACUUUUGAUUAAUGAAGCACCAAGAUAAAGCAAAAAACCUCACCAUGCCUCACUGGGAAAAGGUAUAAAGGACAGACGUUCAGUGGGGGAGGGGGUUGGGGGCAGGGGGGAAUGAGCAGGAAUGAUCAUACCUAAAGAGAAAGCCAAAGCCAAUGCUUGCAAUUGCCAAGGCAUCAGCCAAAAGGAAAACACAACUCUGAUCGCAGAGUAAAUUCAUGUAUGAGUCAUGAUGGGCCAAGAACAAGUUUGCUUUCUUUUCCCCCUCAUUGAACAGAUGAUGAUUAUAAGAUAAAUCAUGCUUGGAGUCAAAUCAAGUGAUUGGAUUAAAGUUUAGUUAAGUAUUUAGAGACUGUUUGGGACACAACGGAAAGCUAAUUGAAAACUUACAUUUGUGAGACCCUUGAACUCUCCAGCUCUUAAUAAAAUACUACUGCAAAGUACACCAGGGUUCCCUGUGGGAAAGAUUCCUCUCCACAAGUGCUUUUAUUCUUCAGGUAUGUGAAAAAAAAAACGGUAUUCAUUUUCUCUACAAGUUCACCAAAGAAAAGAAUUUGAACGAUCAUAAUUCAACUAUUGCUCACGAUACAGUAACAAUCUAUUCAUCUCACUGAAAAUCAGUGAAGCAAGACAAAAAAAAGUCACUUCUUUAAAAAAUGAAGUUUUAAACACUUCAUUCUUUUAAAUAGUCUUUGCUCUUCUGAGCAGCUGGUAUUCCAGUGUGACUGGCUGCCUGCACUGGACUGAAGUGACUCUGGAGUCUUAUAAACUAUGUAAAAAUUCCUUCUGGAUGUGCUGUUGUAGGAAAUGUCAUGCUUUAUUUGUACUAAUAAUAUAAUUGCAUUCUGGAAUCACCCCCAGUUCUUAAGGAACGCACCCAGCCUCCCCAGCUUCAAAGUGCUGUCCUUUUUGGUGGAAAUACCAGUGAAACCCACAAUGAAAGAGAACAAACUUCCUCAUGUACACACACAAACACACAGAAUUGAAAAAGCAGUGCUGGUUCUUCAUUUAGCCACUUUCUUGAUAAACCUUAUAACUGAAGUAAAGCUGCAGAAACUCUGUAGUCAGGUUCAUUUACCCCCUUGCACUUUCUGGCUCUUGUAGAUUAUUUACCUGACUUUUUACUGACCCAGAGAAGUGGGGAUCCAACAAGGCAUUUUGCAGCCAGAGCCUGCAUGCUACAGGUCAUUAUAUUAGAGCAGUCUAUCUCUCUUAUAAGCCAACCCUACCCAAGCCCCUAGCAGCAGAACUGAGAAGCAGGGGUGUUUAACAACCCUCACAAGUGCAGGUCAGAUCUGAAAACCCACCAUCCAGGUUGGCUUCUAGGGUAAGGAAAGGUGCUGCCCUCAGUCUGCAUCACUGCAGGUCCUAGGAAGGCUGUUGAGUUUUGUGGACCAGUUGACCCCAAAAAUAGGUGAUGAAUGAAUCCUGAGAGGAGCACAUUAGAGCUGUCGUCCCCUCUAUGUGCAAGAAAAUAUAUUUCUCCAACUAGCUUAACCUUUAAAACAGCUUUUCUGCAAAAGGAUGUGGGAGCAGAAACCAUACCUGAAUAGUUUAAGUAUAGAAGGUUUGGGGGAGAAUGGUAAUAAGUUAUGCUUAUUUCAGAUGAUUAAUAUAAAUUACUUUUCAGAUAUGCUUUUCAGAUCAUCACAGCAAAACCUAAUGUGAAUGUGACCAGCUGGUUUAGUAGGUGUGAUGCUCCUGUGAUCAGCAUAAUUUAAAAUAUAUUCCCUGCACCUGUCCAGCUGCAGUUGGAAGGGGAAAAGCAAUUCUUACCUGUGGCUGCUGAACUGAGUUGCUGCCUUGUAGCUGAAGAUUUAGUAACCAGAGUCUGCUACUCAACAAUGACUGAAAUCAGUUUUGUGUUAAUGUUUUUUUGCUGGAAUAAUACAAUGAUAAACAUGGAGUUUAAUUUGGUCAUGGUCAUCCAGUGCAGUCAGAAGCAAUGCAGUAGCACCAGAGAAUCAGAUUCUGAGAUGUGUCAUCUCAGUGCUGAGGAAUGUGCAUUGGAGGCAGUGCUGGAAGUGACACUGUUUGUUGCUCAAGUAUGGGUGGUUAUGGUUACAAAGCAAGCUGCACCUGCUUCAUCCAUGGACAGAUGCUCACCCUGCCUGCCCCAACUCUUCUUGCUGCCACAGUUCUCCCUUUGGCUCUGCCAGCAGAUGUGUCACUGUUCUCAAACCUGCACCCCUCCAAAAUCAAGAGAUGUGAGGAGCAGGCUUGGAGCUUUAGACAGGAAUUGAAUGUUCUGAACCAAAAAUCACUCUCUUGGCAACUGUUGUACAAGUAUAGUCAAUGCAUGAAAUAUCUUUUCUGACUCCCUCUGCAUCUGCCUUUUCCUUUUUGAUGGCUCUGAAGCCACAUCUGUUUGACAAGGCUAAGCUGCUUGAUGCAUAUCUUACUCCCCUAACCAACAGAAGUGCAGAAAAUGGGUGCAUCAGUAGAGAGUCAGUAGGCAGUGUCAGAUGAAAGACACACUUCUUCCUGCAAUUCUAGCCAGCUGCGCUAGCUGAAAUAAAAAUACAGCUCGAGAGAAGUGUAUGUGAUAUUUCUUCCUCCAUCCAGCACUCAGCUGCAGUUCCCUGUGCACCUUAAGGCAGAGAUCAUUUGCCAGAGCAUACACGGAUGGGAAACAAUACCACUGGAAAUAGCUGGAGCCGUGAUAUUUAUCAUAAGACAGAGAAGCGUUCUACUAGAGGCCUGAUGCAGGCUUCUCUAUCUCUCUCCAUCCAGGCAUGCAGGUGGGCUUCGCCUGGCCACAUCCUCCAGCCAUGCACUGCACACCCAGCAGGCACGCCCGAAGCUCAGCCAGGAGAACCCAUGUGAUGGUGGUGUGUGAGAUGCCAGAUUCCUACCAGGUCAGAGACAGGUCAGGAGUGAGAAAAUGCAGAAGAAAUGUAGCCCAACUCAUUCCACAGGCCCACUGUCACGCUGCUGUUGAGUCUGUGUGUGUGUUGCAAUUACGGUGCACGGCCCACGAAGUGUAUCUGAAGAGCCGGCUUGGUCCCUGGUAAAGGAAUGUUCCCAGACGUGCUGCAGAGACUUUGCCUGUCGUGUGAUAUGUACAGCAUUUCUUUCCCUUUGUUCCAGAAAGGAGCAUUUGGCUUAUGGUUACUUGGACACAUUGCAAAAAAAUAAAACAUUGCAUUAUGAGAAAGGGAGCCACUCAUUUAAAAAAAAAAAAAUACAAAAAGUUGUGUAAAAUGUGAAAUAAAUAUAGAAGAAAAGAAACCCUGUACAAGAGCCAAGUGCAUCAAAAUCCCCAUAAAUUGUGAAGUUUUCAGCACUGUGAUGAAGUCAUGCAAUCAGGAAGAUUGCGGUGUCUUGAGGAAUGACGCAGUCCAACUUGCAGCCCACACGUAGCUUGCCUGCCGUGUGUCCCAGCAGCAAAACAGGCUAGGUGAAAUCCGGCAGCGAUCAGAUUCCCCCAGCCUGAGCCCCUCACCCCGCAUCUUGGCUGCCCACAGCGUGCCAUGCUUUCAGGUCUGGGGAAAAGGCUGGAUGUGGUAAGGCAGGAGAGGGAAUGCAAGGCUAAGCAGGCAGGAUUGUCCUGGUUGUUUUACCAAGAAACAGAAAAAGCAAUUCAA